GUGAGGAAUAUUGCGCAAUGGAGGCAACUCUGACGCAGCCAUGCCGCGUGCAGGAAGAAGGCGCUACGCGUUGUAAACUGCUUUUAACCGGGAAGAAACCCCAGGACGUGUCCUGGGUUGACGGUACCGGAGGAAUAAGCACCGGCUAACUUCGUGCCAGCAGCCGCGGUAAUACGAAGGGUGCAAGCGUUAUCCGGAUUCAUUGGGUGUAAAGGGUGCGUAGGCGGAGCGUUAAGUCAGUGGUGAAAUCCUGCAGCUUAACUGUAGACUUGUCAUUGAUACUGGCGCUCUUGAGUGCGCUUGAAGUGGGCGGAAUGUGCCGUGUAGCGGUGAAAUGCUUAGAUAUGGCACAGAACACCAAUUGCGAAGGCAGCUCACUAAGGCGAUACUGACGCUGAGGCACGAAAGCGUGGGGAUCGAACAGGAUUAGAAACCCCUGUAGUCC
rnacentral:rRNA from 1 species